AUACGUAGGUGGCAAGCGUUGUCCGGAAUUAUUGGGCGUAAAGCGCGCGCAGGUGGUUCCUUAAGUCUGAUGUGAAAGCCCCCGGCUCAACCGGGGAGGGUCAUUGGAAACUGGGGAACUUGAGUGCAGAAGAGGAUAGUGGAAUUCCAAGUGUAGCGGUGAAAUGCGUAGAGAUUUGGAGGAACACCAGUGGCGAAGGCGACUGUCUGGUCUGUAACUGACACUGAGGCGCGAAAGCGUGGGGAGCAAACAGGAUUAGAUACCCUGGUAGUCCACGCCGUAAACGAUGAGUGCUAAGUGUUGGGGGGUUUCCGCCCCUUAGUGCUGCAGCUAACGCAUUAAGCACUCCGCCUGGGGAGUACGGUCGCAAGACUGAAACUCAAAGGAAUUGACGGGG
rnacentral:rRNA from 1 species